AUGCCAAUGUUAAAUUUUGCUUGUUUUGUACUCCCUUUGUCGCUUGUUUUGAUCAAAUUUUAUAUGCAGACUAAAAAAAACGAAUGGAGUAUAAACAACUUUUUUCUCUACGGGAAAAAAAACCCGAAACUAAUAUUUUCGGUCAGAAAAUGGUUCUACCUAUCUCUCUCAUUCUAUCCUAUCUCUAGUUCUAUCCUGGGUGGCUGGCUAUAUACCCUGAAAACCCUUAAUAUAUCAUGCAUUUUUCAUUGCCACCACUUUGCGAUCCGAGGCGAUCUUCAUUUUCAGCCCCGAUAUGGUACUCCGUCGAGGGGAAUUUUGUCUUCAUCUUCAUCAACAUCAAUCAUCACGUUCCAACAUGAGUUAUGA
rnacentral:rRNA from 1 species